UGACCUCGGAUCAGGUAGGGAUACCCGCUGAACUUAAGCAUAUCAAUAAGCGGAGGAAAAGAAACCAACCGGGAUUGCCUCAGUAACGGCGAGUGAAGCGGCAAGAGCUCAAAUUUGAAAGCUGGCCCCUUCGGGGUCCGCGUUGUAAUUUGCAGAGGAUGCUUCGGGUGCGGCCCCUGUCUAAGUGCCCUGGAACGGGCCGUCAGAGAGGGUGAGAAUCCCGUCUUGGGCAGGGUGCCCGUGCCCGUGUGAAGCUCCUUCGACGAGUCGAGUUGUUUGGGAAUGCAGCUCUAAAUGGGUGGUAAAUUUCAUCUAAAGCUAAAUACCGGCCGGAGACCGAUAGCGCACAAGUAGAGUGAUCGAAAGAUGAAAAGCACUUUGAAAAGAGAGUUAAACAGCACGUGAAAUUGUUGAAAGGGAAGCGCUUGCGACCAGACUCGGCCCCGGGGUUCAGCCAGCACUCGUGCUGGUGUACUUCCCCGGGGGCGGGCCAGCGUCGGUUUGGGCGGCCGGUCAAAGGCCCCAGGAAUGUAUCGCCCUCCGGGGUUGUCUUAUAGCCUGGGGUGCAAUGCGGCCAGCCCGGACCGAGGAACGCGCUUCGGCACGGACGCUGGCGUAAUGGUCGCAAACGACCCGUCUUGAAACACGGACCAAGGAGUCUAACAUCUACGCGAGUGUUCGGGUGUCAAACCCGUACGCGCAGUGAAAGCGAACGGAGGUGGGAGCCCCCCCGGGGCGCACCAUCGACCGAUCCUGAUGUCUUCGGAUGGAUUUGAGUAAGAGCGUAGCUGUGGGGACCCGAAAGAUGGUGAACUAUGCCUGAAUAGGGCGAAGCAAGAGGAAACUCUGGUGGAGGCUCGCAGCGGUUCUGACGUGCAAAUCGAUCGUCAAAUUUGGGUAUAGGGGCGAAAGACUAAUCGAACCAUCUGGUAGCUGGUUCCUGCCGAAGUUUCCCUCAGGAUAGCAGUAACGCGGAUCAGUUUUAUGAGGUAAAGCGAAUGAUUAGAGGCAUUGGGGUUGAAACAACCUUAACCUAUUCUCAAACUUUAAAUAUGUAAGAAGCCCUUGUU
rnacentral:rRNA from 1 species